rnacentral:rRNA from 1 species
UACGUAGGGGGCAAGCGUUGUCCGGAAUCAUUGGGCGUAAAGCGCGUGUAGGCGGCUUGGUAAGUCUGCUCUGAAAGCCCGGGGCUCAACCCCGGGAGGCGGGUGGAUACUGUCAAGCUCGAGUCCGGAAGAGGAGAGUGGAAUUCCUGGUGUAGCGGUGAAAUGCGCAGAUAUCAGGAAGAACACCCGUGGCUAAGGCGGCUCUCUAGUACGGUACUGACGCUGAGACGCGAAAGCGUGGGGAGCGAACAGG